rnacentral:rRNA from 1 species
AUCGAACGCUGGCGGCAGGCCUAACACAUGCAAGUCGAGCGGAUGAAGGGAGCUUGCUCCUGGAUUCAGCGGCGGACGGGUGAGUAAUGCCUAGGAAUCUGCCUGGCAGUGGGGAUAACGUCCGGAAACGGGCGCUAAUACCGCAUACGUCCUGAGGGAGAAAGCGGGGGAUCUUCGGACCUCACGCUAUCAGAUGAGCCUAGGUCGGAUUAGCUCGUUGGGGGGGUAAAGGCCUAGCAAGGCGACGAUCCGUAACUGGUCUGAGAGGAUGAUCAGUCGCAUUGGAGCUGGGACAGGGUCCAGGCGCCUACGAGAGGCAGCAGUGGGGUAUAUUAGGCAGUAGGCGGAAGCAUGGUACAGCCAUGCCGCGUGUGAGAAGGAGGUCUUCGGAUUGUAAAGCACUUUAAGUUGGGAGGAAGGGCAGUAAGUUGAUACCUUGCUGUUUUGACGUUACCAGCAGAAUAAGCACCGGCUAACUUCGUG